UGACGGUACCUCUUGAAUAAGCUCCGGCUAACUACGUGCCAGCAGCCGCGGUAAUACGGAGGGUGCAAGCGUUGUCCGGAUUUACUGGGUGUAAAGGGCGUGUAGGCGGAGCUGCAAGUCAGAUGUGAAAUCCCGGGGCUCAACCCCGGAACUGCAUUUGAAACUGUAGCCCUUGAGUAUCGGAGAGGCAAGCGGAAUUCCUAGUGUAGCGGUGAAAUGCGUAGAUAUUAGGAGGAACACCAGUGGCGAAGGCGGCUUGCUGGACGACAACUGACGCUGAGGCGCGAAAGCGUGGGGAGCAAACAGGAUUAGAUACCCUG
rnacentral:rRNA from 1 species